AUUGACAAUUUCUUAUAUGGAACAGUAUGUGUUGGUUUCACACACACACACACAAAAACAAUCUAAUAGAGUGUUACCAUGUAGCUCAGGCUAGCCUCAUACUCAGAAAUCUUUCUAUUUAAGCCUCCCUACUGCUGGGGUUUUAAGUGAACUACCAUGUUUGGCUUGCCAGAAAUAUUUAUCCAUAGUUCUAUAAGGUUUCCUGACUGGAGAGAUGGCUCAAUUGGUAAAGUGCUUUCCAUACCAGCAUAAGGACCUGUCGGCUUCCAGAACUCAUGUAAAAUGCCAGGUGUGGUCACUCUGUGACUCUAGUGCUAAGGAGGUAGAAUUGAGUAGAUAACUGGGGUUCACUGCCACUGGGUCACUGUCAGGAGCCCAGACGAAUUGGCAAGCUCCAGAUCAGUGAAGAGACUUUAAAAAUCACUGGCAAAGUGAGUGACAGCAGGGGUGUCACGAAAGUUUCAUCUCUGACCUCCACACACAUGCACCGAUUUACCAAGAUGGCUGUAAGAGACUUUUCCAUGAUGGGCACCAUUGGCAGUAAAUCCCAUAUGCAGUGAAGCGGGUGGUGCAGGUUCCCUCUGUCUGGAGCCAGAGAAAUCUGGGUGGCGCAUAGCAGCAACUUUAGUAAUUUCCUCAUAGCAACAGUUGCAGGCACUGGAGUGUAUCGUGUGAAAGCUGUUCUUCUUAGAACCUUCCAGAGUCUUGUUUUCAAACGGCUUUGCUUGUAAGGAUAUCCUUGAGAACAUAAGUAAGUCACCAUACCACUGUCAUUGGCCAGAAUCUUUGGAAAACAUGAAGAAGAAGAAGAAAAAAUUCAUAUUUUCAAAAAUAAUGUACUGAAGGUAAACAUGAGUUUUAAAAUAGGUUAUUACCUUUUUUUAAAAAAUCAUAUGGAAGAGGAGUGGAAAUGCUGUUCCCUCAGUCUGUAAUCGUAACUAGAAGGAGUCAUGACCACUGAGGGAGGGUUCUACUGUUUCUUGGAAAAGCCCAGCCAAGCAGGACAUACUCUUACCCAUGAACCCUCUCAAUCCAUCCCUCUGAAACCACUGAGAAGUUUCAAAUGCAGUGUUUUUCAGAGCCUUGUCCAUGGUAUGCAGGCCUUCCGUCAACUGCAGGCCACUGUUGGCCCUGAGUGGUUCUUAGUCCAUGUGAACUACUGUCUUGAAAAAAGAAAGGAAACCAAACAUUGGCUGGGUGGCCUAGAAAUAGAAAUGCCUGAGUUCAGGGUGCUGGGAAGUCCUAGAUCAAGGAAAAGGCAGACUAAGGAUAGAUAGAACAGACUCAAACACCAUACCUUCUUCCUGUGUCUUCUCAUAGUGGAAAGGUGAAGCUCUCUCUGGGUCUAGAGCACCCACUCACAGUACUUAAGAAUUGGAUUUCAGCCUGUCAGUGUUGGGGAGGCCACAUGGGCACCCCGACUACAGUGGUAGACCAAAGUCCCUCUUGCUACAUGGGACCUGGUUCUGCCUGCGCGUGGUAUGUCACAUUGUAAUCAGGAAGCAGUUGCCUCCGAGGUAGCUUUCUUAAUCUUAGAGUCUUCCCGGUAAACUUGUUUACUAUUUGGCAUUUUGCUCUGUAGUUAAAAAACAAAAGCAGAUUUAUUUGAGGCACUAGAGGAGUCACGGUAAUCUUAAAUCUGUACAGAGAGAAGGAAGUGUAGGAUAGGAACACUUUAUCCCGGAUGCUCCCUCGGGCAUCUGCUGUGAUAACUUCUAUGGAACGGAAGGUAGCUAAGAGUGGUUAGACGAAGAGAAAGACGGGAAGAAGCUAUGGCCAAAGUGAAGCUGCCUAGGAACCACUGGGAUACCCAAGAUAGGUUCAUCCUUACUAUCCUAGCGCUCGCUCGCAAGUUCAGGCAAGGAGUUCAAGGCCAGCCUAGGCUGAGUGAGACCCUGAGUAAAUAGGUAAAUACAUAAAUAGGUGCCAAGCAUGCAGCCUUCUACAGUAGCAAUCCCUGCUCCAGCUCUCUUCUUCAGAACUCUCCGAGAGCCACUUUUCUAUGCCACAGCUCUGACCUCUCGCCCUAUUACCUGGGAGAGUAAUCCAAGCCAAGUGUGGUGGCCAUUCAGCUGACAGGCCAGUUUAACCAGUCUUCCCAGCUCUUUUAACACUGCAGCACCACUCUGGAGAGCCAUGUGUGUUGCUGCCUUUGUGGUGGUGAGAUGGAAGGCAGGCGUGGACGCUGCACCGGGCGGACUCCCUCUCCUGUGACUCACUGGGUGUCACUCCUUUGGGUGUGUUAGCACCCUCGCUCUCAGCUGUCCUUUGCCUUCCAGGUGUAGCACCUAGAGUUCCCCCCUAACUUCUGGAAGCAUUCCCAGUGGGUAAUUGCUUUCUCUCUUCUGAAACUCAGUGGCCUAGGUGUGUCUUUUUCCUAGGUGGAAUGUUGUACCUUGUACCUCUCAGAAGUAAGAAACAUUCCUGUUUGUCAAGGGGUGGUAUGUGCCGAGUAGAAGGAUCAUGUUUGGAUGAUAAGAAAUAGUAUUUCCUUUUUCUAUAUGGUUGUAAUACCGAUAACCUAAAGGGAGGUUGAGAUAUAGAGAUAUAAUUCCCUGGCAUUCUUGCUCACAAUAAAUGCCUUUUGUCUCUAUUGUAUGUUUGUGCACACAUAAACCCACACAAGAAUGAAUAGAAGAUGGCUGCCACAAUAUUAGGUUGGUUAUGUCUAGAAAGUAAGUUGUC
rnacentral:lncRNA from 1 species